rnacentral:rRNA from 1 species
GUGAGGAAUUUUCCGCAAUGGGCGAAAGCCUGACGGAGCAAUGCCGCGUGAAGGAUGAAGGCCUAUGGGUUGUAAACUUCUUUUCUUAGAGAAGAAUAUUGACGGUAUCUGAGGAAUAAGCAUCGGCUAACUCUGUGCCAGCAGCCGCGGUAAGACAGAGGAUGCAAGCGUUAUCCGGAAUGAUUGGGCGUAAAGCGUCUGUAGGUGGCUUCAAAAGUCUCCUGUCAAAGAUCAGGGCUUAACCCUGGGCCGGCAGGAGAAACUCUGAGGCUAGAGUUUGGUAGGGGCAGAGGGAAUUCCCGGUGGAGGGGUGAAAUGCGUAGAGAUCGGGAGGAACACCAAAGGCGAAAGCACUCUGCUGGGCCACAACUGACACUGAGAGACGAAAGCGAGGGGAGCAAAAGGGAUUAGAUACCCUGGUAGUCC